GUUCCAGUGGCGCAAUCGGUCAGCGCGCAGUACUUAUAAGACAGUGACCUGCAGAUCAAUGCUGAGGUUGUGAGUUCGACUCUCACCUGGAGCA
rnacentral:tRNA from 1 species